GAUGAACGCUAGCUACAGGCCUAACACAUGCAAGUCGAGGGACCGGCGCACGGGUGAGUAACACGUAUCCAACCUGCCCUUUACUCGGGGAUAGCCUUUCGAAAGAAAGAUUAAUACCCGAUAUAAAGGAUGGGGAUGCGUUACAUUAGGUGGUGGGUGAGGUAACGGCCCACCAAGCCUUCGAUGGGUAGGGGUUCUGAGAGGAAGGUCCCCGACAUUGGAAAUAAGACACGGUCCAAACUCCUACGCGAGGCGGCAGUGUGGUAUAUUGGGCAAUGGGCGUUAGCCUGAACCAGCCAAGUAGCGUGAAGGAUGAAGGCUUAUGAGUCGUAAACUUCUUUUAUAUAAGAAUAUGUAUUAUAUGAAUAAGGAUCGGCUAACUCCGUGCCAGCAGCCGCGGUAAUUC
rnacentral:rRNA from 1 species